rnacentral:rRNA from 1 species
GUUGACCUCGGAUCAGGUAGGGAUACCCGCUGAACUUAAGCAUAUCAAUAAGCGGAGGAAAAGAAACCAACAGGGAUUGCCUCAGUAACGGCGAGUGAAGCGGCAACAGCUCAAAUUUGAAAU